GGACGAACGCUGGCGGCGUGCUUACCACAUGCAAGUCGAACGGAAAGGCCCUGCUUUUGUGGGGUGCUCGAGUGGCGAACGGGUGAGUAACACGUGAGUAACCUGCCCUUGACUUUGGGAUAACUUCAGGAAACUGGGGCUAAUACCGGAUAGGAGCUCCUGCUGCAUGGUGGGGGUUGGAAAGUUUCGGCGGUUGGGGAUGGACUCGCGGCUUAUCAGCUUGUUGGUGGGGUAGUGGCUUACCAAGGCUUUGACGGGUAGCCGGCCUGAGAGGGUGACCGGCCACAUUGGGACUGAGAUACGGCCCAGACUCCUACGGGGGGCAGCAGUGGGGAAUAUUGCACAAUGGGCGGAAGCCUGAUGCAGCAACGCCGCGUGCGGGAUGACGGCCUUCGGGUUGUAAACCGCUUUCGCCUGUGACGAAGCGUGAGUGACGGUAAUGGGUAAAGAAGCACCGGCUAACUACGUG
rnacentral:rRNA from 1 species